AGAGUUUGAUCCUGGCUCAGGAUGAACGCUGGCGGCGUGCCUAACACAUGCAAGUCGAACGGACGAGAGGAGCUUGCUCCUCAAGUUAGUGGCGGACGGGUGAGUAAUGUAUGAGCAACCUGCCUUUCAGAGGGGGACAACAGUUGGAAACGACUGCUAAUGCCGCAUAAUGUAUUUCGAGGGCAUCCUUGGGAUACCAAAGGAGCAAUCCGCUGAAAGAUGGGCUCAUAUCUGAUUAGUUAGUUGGUGAGGUAACGGCUCACCAAGACAGCGAUCAGUAGCCGGACUGAGAGGUUGAACGGCCACAUUGGGACUGAGAUACGGCCCAGACUCCUACGGGAGGCAGCAGUGGGGAAUAUUGGGCAAUGGGCGAAAGCCUGACCCAGCAACGCCGCGUGAAGGAAGAAGGUCUUCGGAUUGUAAACUUCUUUUAUAAGGGACGAAGGAAGUGACGGUACCUUAUGAAUAAGCCACGGCUAACUAUGUGCCAGCAGCCGCGGUAAUACGUAGGUGGCAAGCGUUAUCCGGAUUUACUGGGUGUAAAGGGCGCGUAGGCGGGGAUGCAAGUCAGAUGUGAAAUCUAUGGGCUUAACCCAUAAACUGCAUUUGAAACUGUGUCUCUUGAGUGCUGGAGAGGUAGAUGGAAUUCCUUGUGUAGCGGUGAAAUGCGUAGAUAUAAGGAAGAACACCAGUGGCGAAGGCGAUCUACUGGACAGUAACUGACGCUGAGGCGCGAAAGCGUGGGGAGCAAACAGGAUUAGAUACCCCGGGUAGUCCUGGCCGUAAACGAUGGGUACUAGGUGUAGGAGGUAUCGACCCCUUCUGUGCCGGAGUUAACGCAAUAAGUACCCCGCCUGGGGAGUACGUCCGCAAGGAUGAAACUCAAAGGAAUUGACGGGGGCCCGCACAAGCAGUGGAUUACGUGGUUUAAUUCGAAGCAACGCGAAGAACCUUACCAGGUCUUGACAUCCAACUAACGAGAUAGAGAUAUGUUAGGUGCCCUUCGGGGAAAGUUGAGACAGGUGGUGCAUGGUUGUCGUCAGCUCGUGUCGUGAGAUGUUGGGUUAAGUCCCGCAACGAGCGCAACCCCUGCCAUUAGUUGCUACGCAAGAGCACUCUAAUGGGACCGCUACCGACAAGGUGGAGGAAGGUGGGGACGACGUCAAAUCAUCAUGCCCCUUAUGACCUGGGCUACACACGUAAUACAAUGGCCGUUAACAGAGGGAAGCAAUACAGCGAUGUGGAGCAAAACCCUAAAAACGGUCUCAGUUCGGACUGUAGGCUGAAACCCGCCUACACGAAGUUGGAAUUGCUAGUAAUCGCGGAUCAGCAUGCCGCGGUGAAUACGUUCCCGGGCCUUGUACACACCGCCCGUCA
rnacentral:rRNA from 1 species